rfam:Hordeum vulgare subsp. vulgare, WGS project CAJW01000000 data, contig: morex_contig_895576
GACUCUCGGCAACGGAUAUCUCGGCUCUCGCAUCGAUGAAGAACGUAGCGAAAUGCGAUACCUGGUGUGAAUUGCAGAAUCCCGCGAACCAUCGAAUAUUUGAACACAAGUUGCGCCCGAGGCCACUCGGCCGAGGGCACGCCUGCGUGGGCGUCA